rnacentral:snRNA from 1 species
AUACUUUUCUCGACCAUUUGGCUAAGAUCAAGCGUAGUAUCUGUUCUUAACUCUAUUUUUUACGAAGAGGGUUCAUUACUGAUAGAAUAUGUGCCUUCACUUAACAGACAAUGGACCAGGUCCCUUACUACACUAAUAAGUAUAAACAAAAAGUUAAAUGCAGUUUAAAUCAAC